rnacentral:rRNA from 1 species
AGGCAAUUCUUAAGGAUUAAUAUGCAGUCUAACGGUAACACGGGAAGUUUGGUUCUCUCUGAGGCGAGGGGCCCGGGUGAGUAAUGUAUGGGGAACUGUGCGAUAGAGGGGGAUAACUACUGGAAACGGAGUGUAAUUCUGCACAAUCUCUCUGGAGCAAAGAAGGGGAAAUUCCGUCCUUGCUCUAUCGGAUGAACCCCUAUGGGAUUAGCUAGAAGGGGGGGGAUUGGCGCACCUAGGCCCGAUCCCUAGCUGGUCUGAGAGGAUGACCACCCACACGGGGACUUGACACGGCCCCAACUCCUACGGGAGGCAAGGUGGGGAACUUUGCAGAAUGGGGGGAGCCCUAUGCCCCAUGCCCGUGUAUUAAGAAAGCCCUUAGGUUUAAAAAUACUUUUUCCGGAGGAAAAAGUUAAUCCUAAUAUCUUCAACGAUUGGAGUUACCCACCAAAAAUCCCGGUUACUCCGUGCCACCAGCCGCCAUAAAUACGAGGGUUGCAAA